UACGAAGGGUGCAAGCGUUACUCGGAAUUACUGGGCGUAAAGGGUGCGUAGGUGGUUUGUUAAGUCUGCUGUGAAAUCCCCGGGCUCAACCUGGGAAUGGCAGUGGAUACUGGCAAGCUAGAGUGCGGUAGAGGGUAGUGGAAUUCCCGGUGUAGCAGUGAAAUGCGUAGAGAUGCGGAGGAACACCGAUGGCGAAGGCAGCCCCCUGGGCUAACACUGACGCUCAGGCACGAAAGCGUGGGGAGCAAACAGG
rnacentral:rRNA from 1 species